CAAUAGGAACACCUGAUGUCUUCUAAAGGGAGACGAGGGUACAGCAAGGCAAUAGGAAUAACGGGGCUGGGGCCAGCGCUCCUUCUCAGCGGGCGCCUUACAGCAGAGCCUUUCCCACCACUUCCCGCUGACACCAUUCCCGUCCCGGUGUGCGGGCGGAGGGACGGCCGCGGCUCCGCGCCCGCCCCUCGCCCCUCAGGCCGGCGUUACCGCCUUCCCCCCGGGCACCGCUGGCGCCGUUCCCUUGGCCGUUCCCUCAGCCUCCGCUGCGCGGCGGGCCGGGCCGGGCCGCGCCGCGCCGCUGGGUGCCCGCCCCCCACCGCCGCAGCCGGCGGGCUGGCAGCUCGGAGGCUGCUCUCCGUCAGGAUGGUUCAUCACUCCGGCUCCAUCCAGUCCUUUCGCCAGCAGAAAGGUAUGAAUACAAGCAAGAGUGAGACAGUGAAAGAGCAUCCAUUAAAACCUUCUAGAAGAUCUAUGCCAUGCCUUGCCCAGAGCCAAACACAUCCUCAGAGCCUGAGCAAGCAUUCUUCAUUUCUGCAGCAAAACUGUGUGCAGCCACAGCUCCAGCCCCAGCCCUUGAGUGCAGGGACAUCAGCAGCUGCAGUGGAUGUAGUGUCAGAACGAGCUAAAGUGAUGGAGACUUUGGAAAACAACUUGCUUAAGCUGUCUAAUACAGAAUAUGGUGAUCCAUUUUUAGGCACACAGUUUGAUGUGAUUGGGAGUGGGGCUGUGGCGGAUCCCCAGUGGAUGCAGCUGCGCAGGACAGAUGUAGGAAAGAACAAAGAUACAUAUACAGAUGAUUCAGAACACGGGAAUUAUGAUGCUCGUACAGAUCAGUCAUUGCUUAUUCAAAAUAAGCUCAUCAGGCAGAAAACAGAACCUCGAACUAAGUCAUCUUUAAAGAGUGACACCAUGGCAUCAUUAGGACUCUUCUUCAAAGAUGGCAAAAAGCGCAUUGACUACAUCUUGGUCUACAAGAAAUCAAGUCCACAGGUAGAAAAAAGAAGUGUGUUUGAGAAGAAUUUGCGAGCAGAAGGGCUGAUGUUAGAACGGGAGCCAGCUGUUACCAACAGUGAUAUCAUGUUCGUUAAAAUUCACUGUCCGUGGGAGACAUUGUGCAAAUAUGCAGAAAGAAUGAACAUCAGGAUGCCUUUCAGGAAAAAAUGUUAUUACACUGACUGGAGGAGCAAAACCAUGGGCAGUUUGCAGAGGAAUAUUAGGGAGCUGAAAAGCUGGUUGCCAAGAAAUCCCAUGAAGCUUGAUAAGGAGGCCCUGCCUGAUCUGGAGGAAACAGAUUGCUACACAGCCCCCUUCAGCCGUGCUCGCAUCCACCACUUUACAAUAAACAACAAAGACAGCUUCUUCAGCAAUUCCACAAGAAGUAGAAUUGUGCAUCAUAUGCUACAGAGAACUAAGUAUGAAGAUGGAAAAUCCAAAAUGGGUAUUAAUAGGUUACUAAAUAAUGGAACAUAUGAAGCAGCAUUUCCACCACAUGAGGGAAGCCACAAAAGCAGGCAUCCCAUCAAAACACAUGGAGCACAGAAUCACAGACAUCUCUUGUAUGAGCGCUGGGCACGAUGGGGAAUGUGGUACAAAUACCAACCUCUUGAUUUAAUCAGGCGAUACUUUGGUGAAAAAAUUGGACUGUAUUUUGCCUGGCUGGGAUGGUAUACUGGAAUGCUUAUUCCUGCUGCUCUGGUUGGGCUCUUUGUUUUCCUCUAUGGAUUAUUUACAAUGGAUUCCAGCCAAGUAAGCAAAGAGAUCUGCGAGGCAAAUGAAACCAUUAUGUGUCCUAUGUGUGAACGCAAUUGCACACUACAAAAACUCAAUGAAAGUUGCAUAUAUGCCAAGGUUACACAUUUGUUUGAUAAUGGAGGGACUGUCUUCUUUGCAAUUUUCAUGGCAAUUUGGGCAACAGUCUUUCUAGAGUUUUGGAAAAGACGGAGAGCUGUGUUGACUUAUGAUUGGGACCUCAUAGACUGGGAAGAUGAGGAGGAAGAGCUGCGUCCCCAGUUUGAAGCUAAAUAUUCCCAAGUGGAAAGAGUAAAUCCCAUCACAGGAAAACCUGAACCUUUUCAACCUUUCCCUGAUAAACUCAGUCGACUGAUGGUGUCUGUCUCAGGAAUAUUCUUCAUGAUUUCACUGGUCCUUACUGCAGUGUUUGCAGUUGUGGUCUAUCGGCUGGUAGCCAUGGAGCAGUUUGCUUCUUUCAAGUGGUAUUUCAUCAAGAAGUAUUGGCAGUUUGCAACAUCUGGCACUGGAGUCUGUAUCAAUUUUAUGAUCAUCAUGUCACUCAAUAUUGUGUAUGAAAAAGUUGCCUAUCUCCUGACAGACUUAGAGCACCCUAGAACAGAAUCUGAGUGGGAAAACAGCUUUGCCUUGAAAAUGUUCCUCUUUCAGUUUGUCAACCUGAACAGCUCCAUCUUCUACAUCGCCUUUUUUCUUGGCAGAUUUGCAGGCCGCCCAGGAAAGUACAACAAGCUUUUUAACAGAUGGAGGCUGGAAGAGUGUCAUCCUAGUGGCUGCUUGAUAGAUCUAUGCUUACAAAUGGGAGUUAUUAUGGUUUUAAAACAAAUGUGGAACAACUUCAUGGAACUAGGCUAUCCUUUAUUACAGAAUUGGUGGUCACGACGCAAAAUGAAGAGAAAAGGGCAAUCAAUGGAGAAUAAAAUUUCCCUACCUCAAUGGGAAAAAGAUUGGAAUCUGCAACCUAUGAAUCUCCAUGGCUUAAUGGAUGAAUAUUUAGAGAUGGUUUUACAGUUUGGCUUUACCACCAUUUUUGUUGCUGCCUUCCCCCUGGCACCUCUCCUGGCACUGCUCAACAACAUCAUAGAAAUCAGGUUAGAUGCAUACAAGUUUGUCACUCAGUGGCGAAGACCCAUGCCUGCAAGAGCAACAGAUAUAGGUAUUUGGUAUGGAAUUCUGGAGGGAAUUGGAGUUCUGGCUGUCAUCACCAAUGCCUUUGUUAUUGCCAUUACUUCUGAUUACAUUCCACGUUUUGUCUAUGCAUACAAAUAUGGUCCCUGUACAGAUCAAGGGUACAGACAAGAAAAAUGCUUAAAAGGAUAUGUCAACAGCAGUUUGUCAGUAUUUGAUUUGAGUGAACUUGGGCUGGGAUACUCAGGAUACUGUAGGUACAGAGACUACAGAGCCCCACCAUGGAGUUCAACUCCAUAUGAAUUCACUUUGCAGUUUUGGCAUGUCCUGGCAGCACGACUGGCCUUCAUCAUAGUAUUUGAGCACCUUGUUUUUGGAAUAAAGUCUUUCAUUGCCUACCUAAUUCCAGACAUACCCAAAGACUUGUGUGACAGAAUGAGAAGAGAGAAAUACUUAGUCCAGGAAAUGAUGUAUGAGGCUGAACUGGAACAUUUGCAAAGAGAAAGGAAAAGUAAUGGAAAACAGUAUCACCAUGAAUGGCCUUAGUCAUUACCAAGCUGCAACAAAAACACUGUUUGAAAUUGGAGAGUGAAUUUACAAAAUGAAGUCAGUCUGGCAUCAGUGUGAGGUUUGGUCGUGGUGUAUAUAUGUUCUUGCUAGGCAGUACAGUUGCAUACUUUGGUGGCCACCGAGAAAUAGAUGUUUCCAGUGAUGUCAAUGAAAAGCCUUACCUGUAAGUGGUCUGUGAUGAGCUCCAAAGACAAUUGGCAUUCAGAAAUUUGUCCAGAGUGAAAAUCUGGACAUUGUUUUAAAAGCAGGCAGUGGAUUUUCAUGCUGUUUAUGAAGAUACUAUACUAUCAGUAUGAUAUUACAGAAAAUUACCUGUGAACCUAUAGAGUAAGGGCAUGACUAAAACCAAUUUACGUGAUAUCCACUACUUCUACAGCUUCUGAUUGCUCAGCUCUCUCUGUAAUAACUCUAAAGAAAAGAGCAGUUGUUGCCUUUGUGGCUAUGACUUGAUCCUUCAGGCUUACUGUUUUGUCAGGUUUGUCCUAGUCUCUUGCUGAGGUUGUGGAUGUGGUCCUACCCUAAAAAAGGGGGUCUGUGGCUGCUAAAUAUAUACUAUGCAGUUUGAGAUUUGCACAUCAUUAUCAUUAAUUUACCCAUCUUGAAAACCAAAAAGUUCAAAUUCGGAAAGAAAACAGCAGCACCAGGAGAAGGUAAUUUUCUGUUUGAAAAUUAUACAGCUGUUGAUUUGUCUUUGCUCUUUUGUGUGUGAAAGGCCAUCUCCACAUGCUUCCAGGAUGAAAGAACUAUCAUUUUCAUGCUAUGUUACUGUUCCUCUUGAUCCGCCUGGGCAAUGAUUCCAUGACUUCACAGAGUGCUAACUUGAAAUACUCCCAUGCAGUGCAAAUUACUUUCUCUUCAAAACACAAUUAUAUCUUUAUAGGAUGCAAGUUUCUGCCAAUAUAUAUGAGACAUACAGUAUAACAUCAUGGCUUGCUUGUUCAGGGAAGGAGAAGAGCAAUUUGUAACAAUGUUCUUCUUAUUGUAAUAGUAAAUAUUCUUCUUUUAUUGGUCUCAAUAUGUCAUAACAUUGGAGCUGGAUACAGGCAAAUAUGUAUACAGAUUGUAUAUGAAUGCAUACACACACAGUGGUUACUCAUAGAUUUACUAUUAUUAUUAGUAUGCCCUCAUACACUUUGGGGAGGAAUUUUUUUAUAAAAUCACUAAAGAAGUAGAUGUUCAUUGAAGCAUCAAAUUUCAGUUUUUAUGUGCAAACAGCAUACUGCAGUGUUGCUUGUGGUUAAUAGUCACAUUUUGGUGAUGAAAUUGUCUGUUACUAACAUUUCAUAAUACAGGAAAAGCACUUCAAGGUUAAACAAAUUUGAAGGGAUACCUUGCAGGGAAGGGAAUGGAUAAACAGUGUUACAGUUGUUCUGUUUCUCUUGUACUAUUUUAAAUAAUGCUUCUCUGUAUUGGAUGAGAAAAAUCUGAAAAACAAAGAGUCAGCAAAGCACAGUAGCUACAAAGUCUACAAAUGUUGACAUUAUUUUUAGGGAUAAAGCUGCAGCAUAAUCACGUGUCGAGUAUUCACUCGUAUUUAUUAGCUCAAUAAUUUUAUCUUAUUUCACUGAAAUUAAUUUCAAGAGUCAAGAGCCCAUCGAAGUAGUUAACUAGGAUGUGUUGUAUCCAGAGAGCCUAACAUCAGACUUUUAAGUUCUUCAGUUGUUUCACCACUUUAAUGAGAUUUCUUGAUUAAUUUCAGCUCCAUUACAAGCAAGACAAGGCACUUGUAGGGGUAUCUAUAGUACUGCCUGAAAGGAGGAAAGAAAUUUGAAGAAAAAUUUGAAGAUCUGGCCCAAUCAGGGGUAGAGCAUGAACACGGGGGAAGUAACUUCAAGGACAAGAUUGACAUACAUCUGCAUCAUAAAGAUGGUCACUGAUAAAGCAAAAGCAACAGAGGGGCUCUUCAUAAAAAUACAAGCUAAAUGUAUCAGGUGAGUCUGUGAGUUGUCUUGGAUGUUUUCAUUCAAUCUGCUUCACUGAAUUGUGAAUUUUGUUUUAAAACAAAUAUAUUUAUUGAAAAACUAUAUCCAGAAGUUAAUCAAGGUGAGAGGAGAUCUGUUGGCUUUUAUUUUCAACCAGCAGGUUUUCAAAGAAAUGUGUUUCACUGAAAGAGAGCACUGAAUGGGCUCUGUUUCCAAGACAGUGUAUUAGACAGAUUAUUUUGCCUAAUUAUGUAUAUUUUUUUUUUCAAAAUUCAGCAUGAACUAUCAAUUAGGAGGGAUGGUCAUCAUUCAAUGUUGCUUUAUUUUCUUUAUUGCAUAAAAGUAGAUACUUUUGAUACUUUAGAUACACAGAUAAAGAGCUGUGGGAUUUGUAAUUUUAUCUUCUUCUCCCCCCAAUUCCCCCCCCCCCAACGUGUUCCACCUUUGUCCUCUGACCCAGCCCGCCCCUCCCCCCUCCCCCCGCGGUCCUUUGUCUUGAUCCUGCAUUCCCUUAUCACUCCCCCUCGCCACGCGGUCUGUCCCUGCCCCUCCCCCCCCCGCCCUUUCUCUUCGCCGCUCCUGCCUCACCAGGGCCUCCGGGGUUUCCCUGUCCCUGCCCUAUCCCCAUUGGCUGCGGCUCAUGUUCCCCCCCCCCCCCCCGGCACAGGGUAUAACCAACCCCCAGUUGGUGCCCCAGCGUCUUGGGAACACGCUCCCACAAUAAACAUGUGUUUGCACCCGAGCCCCGUGUCGCUAUUUUGUCUAUUCCUGCGCUAGAACUGAGCCUCGCAGAGCCAAAGGGGAAAAGCAGCCCCGCCUUUCCCCGUGCUCCUGCAGGUGCCCACCCGGAGCCAGUCCCGCACGGCAACAAAUGGUAGCAGAGGAUGGUUAUUUCCAUUGAUUUGUGAAAGGGGGAGAGAGAAAGGAACUCUGCUGCCGUAAGAGCUCUGCACAUGCUAAGAGGAGUUGACACACCGGGCGGAAAACAAUCCUGAAGCUCUGGGGACCCUCCUCCGUCCUCGCUGGCGUGCUCUCUACCCCGCCUGGGAGCAGCUGCGCUGCCGGGGCAGCCAGACUGCAGGGGCCAUGAGCCGGGUAGACUUACCCGAGGACAAAGAAGACAGUUUGGCAGUGGCUCAAUGGACUGAGCUCGAAGAGUGGCCCGUCAGGGGGCGGCAUUUGAAUGGAGACCAGAGGCUGACAGUGGCUGAACCCAGGGUUUCAGAGGCGAGCCCUGGUUAACGGGAACACCCAGGCUUUUGGGAGAGCCAAACCGCAAAAAGAAUAUGUCCUCAGUCUAGCACGAUUUUCCGCCACCGAGGAGAGAGAUAGAGAUUUCACUGCCCGAGCCCAGAGGGUAAGUUGGGUCAGAGCAGGGUGGGACCCUGGCGGGCAGCUGAGCUACCUUUUUUUCUUUUCUGAGUUUUAACCACCAUCCGCGUUCAGACAGGGACUGUAGCCUUGCAUGUCCCUGGCGGCCGGGAGGUUUUUUAUUUUCCGAGGAGGACGCAACCUCACUUGGUCUUUUUGGGGUAACUCAUACUGGAAAGCUCCUUCUCUUUCUCGGAAAGCUGCCUUUUCUACCCUCUCCUCGCUAUUCUGGGCUAUGGGGGCAGGGGUGGUCAAAAGGACACCAAUGGGACAGAAUUGUAAAUGGCGACAUGUCAGCUAUGGGAGAAGUGUUAACAUCCUAAGAGAGGCUUUUCACAUCCACGCAUUUCGUCGGCUUCCAGCCGCGUCGGGCUCCUCUCCUGUAGUUUUCCCCUUCAGCUUCUGCAAAGCUUCCCAUUCCCGUUUCCCCACAGACUUUCCCAAACCUUCUCCCUUGGGGAUGGCCGAGGUCGAGCUGCUCCAAGCGCCCUGCCGGACACUGUUAUCCUCCCUUAGGGGUGGCAUUGGCCAUGCCUCCCCGGGCAAGAUGCAGUGCACCCGGCGCCCCCUCCCAAGAUGGCGCUGGCCAUGCUACAGGGACCCCAUUUUCCCGCCUUAACCCUUCUCUUCUGCUCACGUUUUCCGGCCAGCCCCACCCCUCCUCCCAAUGGCCCUGCACCAUUCUGCAGCAAGGCCAGCCCCUAUUGGGAGGGAGGUGAGGUUGGAUUAAUCCCUCAGUCCUUCUUCUGGCCCCCCCUCUCAUGGGAGGGAUUGCCGGAGGGGUCCCUCCGUUAGAGGACCUCCCUUUGUAAGAGAGCUUUCCCCUUUGCUGGGGGGGGACCCCCUUCGAAGGGAGUGGGGCUGGAAACUCAGACCAGGGCUCCACUGUUUUCUUUCCCCUGAAACAGUGGUGCCCAGGUUUACCCCUGUAUCCCAUCUCCUAAAUGUACCUUGCCCAAAGUUCCCUUAUUAUUUCAAUACAAGUUUUCCCCAUUGCUUUGGGAAAUUUGGAAAUAACUUCUUGGAUUGAGUUCUAUCUUAUAGAAGGAAAGAUCAUCCUCUCUAAUUACUGCCCACAAUGCUAUGCCAGCUUCGCAAUCAAAUAAUCAAAUUGGAGAAACCAUGUCGCUGCUUCUGCUCUGCUAGAAUUCGAAAAACCACAAGCAUCGCAUCAUGAAACCUGCUUUCAUCCUCGAUACAGAAUGUGUUUAUGAUAAUUUUGUACCCUUUAUCUUAAAUUGUGAUGUGGAAAAGAUUUUUGCCCCAUUCAUUGUAACUAUGAUUGGUGUAUCACUUUCUGAUAUCUCUCAACUUACAUUUUCUCAGUAAUUUUUAAUGUUGUCAAUUUGUUUUUACCUCAGAACUCCCUUUCCUUUAUGUAAAUUCAAAAGAUUGAGUUGUGGGAUUUGUAAUUUUCUCUUCUUCCCCUCCCACUCCCCCUCCCCCCUUCUGUCGUGUUCCCCCUUUGUCCUGCAACCCAGCCCACCCCUCCUCCCUCCCCCCGCGGUCCUUUGUCCCCCCCCUUUCCCUUUGCCGCUCCUGCCUCCCCGGGGCCUCUGGGGUUUCCCUGUCCCUGCCUUAUCCCCAUUGGCCACGGCUCAUGUCCCCCCCCCUGCCCCUGGCACAGGGUAUAACCGACUCCCAGUUGGUGCCCCAGCGUCUUGGGAACACGCUCCCACAAUAAACACGUGUUUGCAACCGAACCCCGUGUCGCUAUUUUGUCUGUUCCUGCGCUAGAACUGAGCCUCGCAGAGCCAAAGGGGAAAAGCGGCCCCACCUCUCCCCUCCUCCCACCGUGCUCCCACAGGCACCCGCUGGGAGCUUGUCUUGCAUGGCAACAAAGAGCUAUUCUGAAUUCAAAGUAAAAUUUGUUAUUCUGUCCUAUAGCUUUUACAAUGAGAAGCUAUAAAGAAAACUUGAAUUCCCCAGAGGAAGCAAACAGAGUUAUCUCAGUGACUGAAAGACCAGUCUGGUCUAUACAGGGUUCUUUUGAGGAGACUUUUUGUGAUACUUGGGUGUAGACUCAGCCUGACCUCUCUUCUCUCCCUCCAUCAGAGGGCAGCUCACAGACACCUUAGUGAGAUAUCUCCCAAACUUCCCUGAAGUCUUAGUUUAUCUCAAGUUCACCUUUGCACAUUCCUUUUAAUGAUGAGUUGCUGAAUAAAGCAGGUGAUGCAGAUGUAUUGCAGCUGUGUCUGAGUAGGAGCUUCCACAACAAAAUUAAUGAAACAUUUCUUCUGAAAUAGCAGUGCUUCCAAAACCUGAUUGUCCCAUCAUUUCCCAGGUCUGCCAAGAGAUUUGUAAAUAAAAAUCUGGCCUUUAUUGCUACAGAGAGCAACUGCUCCCUCUUGGUCACCUACAAGCUGGUAAGUGAAUUGAAAGAAGUUACUAAUUUCUUAAGCUGAAGAACUAAAAUUUGAUUAAACGUCCUUUGUCCCUCAGCUUCUAGAGGUGAGAUUCUCUGCUUAUAUUUGUAUAUGAAUUUUCUUCAGAAUUGUAACCACGGAUCUGGUGGUUAUUUUCUUUGUUGGUAUUAUUCCUGAAGGUCUUAUCUGUUCUGGUUUUAUUUGCAGCAGCUUCCGGAAGUUUUUUCUCAAAGUCCAUCUGAAAGAAAGGAACAAAAUACCCUUAUAAUUUGAAGCCUGUAUUCACUGCUUUUUUCUUUUGAUUAAAGAAAAAUUAUGAAAACAGUGCAAGAAGAACAGAGGCUUUCAUUCUGUAUGCCUUUUUAAUGAGCUACAAAGCCUUGGGACAUCUGGAGAAUAGCUGGUCCUGUUGCUGUGGAGGAGGAGGAGGAGGAGGAAGUGGGAAGGAACAGCUCAGAUGUUGGUGAGUGCAGCACUGCCUGGUUGUUGUUCUCUGGUGCUGCUCUGGAGGGCAGAAGCCUCAGGAGCUCUGAUGAUGGGGAUGACAGCAGCAAGAGAGCUUCAUGAGCAUGUGAGUUCUAAAGUCUUUUUCUCUGAGUUUGGUGGAAGGCAAUAGUUUGGUGAACUGUCUAUUGCGUAAAGUGCAGUUUUGUCCCAGCAGGGAGAGGGAGGUCAGACACUAUUUUGAUGCCUUAAGCUUCAGCUUUUAUAUUUUUCAUAUUCUGUGCUGCUUUAGUCUGUAGUUCUGAGCUUCAUAUUAAGUGUUGGUAAGCUCUUUUCACAGAGUGGGUAGACAAAACAAUUCCUUUUCUACCUUGGGACCAAGGAUAAAUGAUCCAAAUCUCAGGCCCAAGAGCACAAACAACAUGGACUGAAGAGAGAAAAUCAAGCAGGAUGGGACUUCAUGGGCUAAAGCUGAAUUGGACAAUGAAGUCCAAGAUGCAAAUGGAGCAGAACUGAUCAAAGUGAGAGCCCCCGUGAGCGCUCGUGCAUUUUGGGACCAAUUUGGUUCUUCUUGGGUGCAGCCCUGGAUGGGCUCUUGUGCUACCCAAGGUGUGUCCAUUGAGGCCUUUUACUAAAUCCCUGUUUUAUUCUUUAACUCUGUCUAGCCUCUGCUCUAGGUCAGCUUCCCAAGGCAUCAGUUCUGUGAGCUCCUGGCUUUCCCGAGGGCUGUUUGUUUUUUGAGGGCCUGAGUCCCCAUAUUUGAUGAAAAUGGGAAAAAUAGGUAACUUAUUCCUGACUGGGGUUUGGCUGAUUUCAUCUCCAGUCUGUGCUGCUUAUGCAGCAUCCCUUGCAUAAGUUCAAGAGCAGCUGUUGAAGGCUGGUUAUUUCUUUGCUCAGCCCAUGCCCUCACGUGGGCACAUGUGUUCCCACUGCUCCUGGGCCACAGCAGGGCUGAGCUGAUGGGGUCAGCACUCACCUCCAGGCUAUCGUGCCGCACACCACACCAGAGGAAUACUUUGAGUCUUUUGGACCAAAAGCAAAACAAGUUGCAGACUGGUUUAAUUAACACUGGUGGGAUGUCUUCUCCUUUACUAGGUCCUGCAAAAAGAAAAUAGUAAUAAGUGGAUAGCUGGGUAUGAGCCUUGGGACCCUCAGACCAUGAGGUGGGGGAGCAGGAUCAGAGCCCACUGCCCUCUUCUGAGUUUGUGUCUUAAGUCACCUACUAGACUUUUUAAAAGCUUUUUUAACAGCCAGAUGCAAAGGUAUAUAUAUAUAUAUAUAUAUAUAUAUAUAUAUAUAUGUAUGUAUGUAUGUGUAUGUGUGUGUGUGUGUCUGCAUGUUUAGGCCACCAACCUGUUAUAAAGCUUAUCAACAGCCCGGUGAUGGCACAGCCCACGCAGCCGAUGGCACUGAAGUACAGGUAGGACAGGGAGUACCAGGUGUCUGCCAGCAGAGGCCUGUGAAGAGGUGAAAAAGCAGCUAGUGAUGAGCAACAACUGCAUUUGAGCUGUUGCCUGACUGAGCCAGCAAAAACGCAGCUCAUGAUGCAGCUGGUGUGUCAUCUGACACCAGUCUGCACUCCCAGCCUGCCCUGGCAGUACUGCCUGCACCGCAGCUGCAGGCUGGGGCGGGGCACACUUGGCAAAACAUAGGCUUAAGUGGUAACAAUAGGAGAAAUACCUCUCUGGAGCCAGUGUGGGAGCUGCUGUUAUCAGUGCCUCGGUGCUGUUAGCCAGGGUGCAGUUGAGGGUAGACAGCUGCAGAGGGAUGGACUUUGUUGCUGGUGCCGGGUAGAUGAAAGAGCCAAUACCAGCCCAAAAAGCCAAGCUGAUCCCAGCUAAGAGGCCUCCGAGAGCACCCUUGGCAAGUAUAGAAAGAUACCAUUAAAGAUGAUCUGUGGAAAGUGCUUUUCUGUGAAUGUGAAUUAGGCAGGAGUAGGUAAUGAUGGGUUAUGGUGUACAUAAAUUCUGUUCUCUCUCAACUAAGGUAUAAAGCUCUAAGGUAUUUAGUGCUCUCUGUUUGCAAAAGUUGAAGCAGAAGUGUGAUUAAAGCUGUGAUACAAAUUUUAGUUUUACUUCUGCUAACCUUGAUGGGAAUCCUGAUGAGGCAAUAUGGAAUGAGCUCAUGUUGUGUUUUGAGUGAAAGACUGAAGGCAAAGCUUUUGAAUUCACUCCGUGGAUCCCAAGACUGGUGCAAGUAUUGAGUAAUUUUUUUAUUCUUAAUGAAACCCAGAAAAAAAAAAUAAGAAAGCACUCAUGUGAAUCUAAUCACUAAUUAUUCCACAGCUGGGUAGACUUAAAUUCGGCAGGAUAAAUCAGCUAGGGAAAAGGCACGUGUAUAAAUAGAUCUUAGAUCCUCAGGCACUAAAACUGAAAAGCAGCUCAAGGACCCAAACAAUUUUCAAAAUUGAGUUUUAACCAAAAAGCACCAAGAGAUUUUCUUUUAGAUCAGGAUUUUUGUUUCCUUACCUUCCAGUUAGCACAGGGAAACACAAUUCCCAGAGUAAAUAAUCCCAGCAUGGGCCCCCCACACAUCCCGUGGAUGGAAAGGGAAGCCUGUAGGUGCAGAGAAGAAUGAGUUCAGGGCAGCAGCUGAGGGGAAGCAUGCUCAGUUCUGAUUUUGAUUUAUAAUUUUCACUGGGAAAAUGAUGAGGGAGAAGGGAUAAGGAGUGAUUUCAGGGCAAAAUUACAGAGAGAAUCAAUAUUGUUUCCAAGCAGAAGUCAAUAGAGAAAGAGUUAGGGGAUUUCUUUUUUUCCUACUUAUUCCUCUCAGCAAAAUGUUUACUAGAAAUGUUUUGGGUACUCUAGCAGCCAUCAGAACUGGCAGCAUUAUUUGCUCAGUUCAUUACAUUUUGUGUUCAUUCCUAUUGUAUUAGCUGCAUUUCUGAAGCAAGAAAUACCUGCACGACUCCUCCCAGCAGUGAUGCUGCUGCAGCCAUGGAAGUGCACACGACACCGUAUAGUACACCUGGAAAAGGUAAGGUAGGGAGGUUCUCAGCCCUGGUUAAUGGUGGGGAUGGUUUCUAGCUCAGUAGUGUCGGAGGUGACCAGCCAGCAGGGAGGAACUGGCCCUUCUGAUUGGUUGUUUAGAGUAGAGUAUUACACACCCAGCAAUGUCUUGUGUGAAGUCUCACUGGGUUUUUGGUUGAUUGAUAUUUUACAAAGUAAAACAAUAUCAAUUACACUAAUUUAGAAGUUAUGCCUCAUCUAGAAAUGUUUCUGUUGCCUUUAAGUAUCGCUUUUAAAACAAUCUAAUAAAUGAGUGAGAAAUUAUAAACCAGCAUGACUUUCUUCCCUUGACACCAGUUUUAACUUCAUGGCAGGUGAAACUCUGUAUGCAGCAGCCUUGAGUAAAGCCAACCAAAACUUCUGUGCUAGCACACCUUGGUUUCAGACAUCAAAAUUAUCUUUCUAGGUCCAGAGUGAAAAAACUAAGUAGUAAGUGGAAAAACAAGAAGGGAGAAUACUAGAAGCAGUUACAGGGAUAGAAAAUAGACGGGUUUGGUGCUUUCAUUAUAUUUGUGAAUUGUAGUAGAAUUCUUAUGAUAGCCAUAGAAGGGUUAUGAUCUUACUGAAAUAAUUGUAACAAAUAUCCUAAAAAUUGAAAUCAUUUUGGAUGCUUGAUAUAUUGAUGAUAUUUUGUGGGCAUUUUUACUUUUUUCUCUGAAAAGCUGGAUAAUCUGCUUAUGCAGUACUCUGAGUUUGAAUAGAAAUUAUCUACUGUAUUACUCUAACUUAAUAUUACUAUGUAGUAAUGUGGUAAUAACUACAUUAGCAUGUUUUCUGUGUUAUGAAGAGUGUUUUCUAAUAUUUUCAUUAGACCAAACUUUUCCAAGGAUUUUGAAUGGUGGUUGUUCAUGCUAGUCUAUAUUUGUUUCUCUGCCAUAUGAUGCUGAUGAUACUACCAAGGCAUCAGAGGGUUUAUCAAGUGUUACAUUCAUGUUUCUGAGAGAGUCUCUCUGUGCAGUGCCCUUUACUGCUAAAGAAAUGGGUCUCAUCUGGAGUACCCACACAAGCCUUUGCUGAUCCAUGUGCUCAUCUUCUCGGAGACAUUUGGGAAACCUUUCUUUACCAGGUCUUCAAAGGUAACGGUUGCUAAAGCAUUGAUGCUGGCAGCUACUGUGCUGUAGAAAGAGAGAAGAAUAGUAAGUAAAUAGGAAGCAAUAUAAUCUGAAAUAAAGUUGUAUCGAUAAAGAAAAGUUUCCUCUUUUUCCACACUAAUGCUCUCCAAGAACUGUAUGAUUCAUAGUAUUUUUCAUAUAUGCUACUUUAACUGGGGAGGUUUCUGCUGCUUCUGCAAUUGCUGGGGGCUCUGCUUUUUGCUGGCAUGGAACAAGAUAAAAACACGUCCAAAAUGACCCUUCCUUUUACAAGUUUGCGAAGACCUUAAGUAUAGAUAUAUUCCAGAAUUAAAACCUCAAUCCUUUAAAAAUUGAAGGAUGUGCAGUCACCACUAGUGCCACCGUGGUCCUCCAUGAAUGGCCUAACUCUUUUAGCUGGAUGAGUGAGCCUGUCUUUGGUGAAAAUAGUUCAGAUAGACUUACUGAAAAUGUUUAUUGCCACUAUGUUAUUGUGGCAGUUACCUUAAGUAAAGAGUGUUUCACCAUAAGCAGCUCCCAAGAGUAUUUUGGGAAGUUAAACUCAGUUUUUCUACACUUUCUUUGUAUUGAUAACAUUAUUCUAAAAUGCAUUUGGGAUAAAAAGAUACUGGAGAUGUGGACUUAGACAUUAUCAUAAAUGUAAUUGUAGAAUAAUUUAGGUUGGAAAAGACCCCUAAGGUCACAGAGUCCAGCAGUUUACCCAGCACAGUCAAGUCCACCACUAACCCAAGUCUCUAAGUGCCACAUCCACAUGUCUUUCAGAUAUCUCCAGGGGAUGUAACAUAAUUCAACAAGGAACUACUGCUACUUCCUAGAAUGUUCUAAGAGAAACAGCUGGGCUUUUCUUAGGGUUACAUAUUUUGACCUCAUUCUGGAUCCUCCAGAAAUUAUCAUAAACAGCUAAAAUGUCAAUUCAGAUUCACAAACCUUAAUGUUCCACUGAAUGCACAGGCAACAAACAGUCCUGGGACUCCUGGCAUCAAAGAAAAGAUGUCCAUAACAAAGUAUGGCAUGACCUGGGACAGGAGAAGCACAAGAGAACACAAGAAAUUAUUAAGGAAAUGCAUCUCUGUAUUGUGGACUGAUUGACGCCAUAGAGCCCUAGCCAUGUAAAUGUUCCCCCAAUAACUAUUGUCCAGAAGGUAUGUCGUCUCAAAGGAUCAACAUCAAAGCUAGAAGAAGGAAAGAAAGAAAGAAGCAAUUUAGUUUUUUUAUUUAAAUAUGUUUUUUUCAGCAAGAGGUACGUGAUUUUUUUUCAGAAUUAUCUGGCAUGUCCUACCAUCUGAAUCAAAAAUUCUGCAUUGGAAAUACUGUUUUUCAGAACAGACAACAUGCAGUGUAUUCAGGUUUGGAAGACUUUUUUACUUUUAUAUUGGAACACAUUGUUUUCAAGUCAGGAUAGCCAAAUAUCAUUCAGACCUAGUCAGAGGAUCACUUCAUUCAGAUUAACCAAAUUUAUAAGGGUGUUUAUGCUCAGACAUCUGACCUGUGUCAUAUUGUAGCAGAACUACAAGCCAUAGUGCCUGAGACCCCUUCUUUUGUAAGGAACAAGGUUGCUUACCAAACUCUAAAAAAAUCCAGCAAACUUUUAAUAAUAAUAAUUAUUAUUAAUAAUAAUUUUAUUUAUAAUUAAAAUAAUAAUAGUCAUAAUAUAACUUCCUUUACAAGACAUUGCUUCAGCUGCUGUGUUGUCUUUUGUACAACAAAAUUCUACUACUCAGCAAAUCUUACUCAUACAAGUAUAUCUUUCUGUUUUGAAGGUGUCACCUUUGCAGUUCUCCUUAUCUUGGUUGAGACAGCAGGUAACAUUUGACUUUGCUGCUGGAUUAUGUUACUGACUUGUCUUGAUUAACCAACCAAUGCCACAAACAGCUAAAGGAAGAUCAUAUUUCUGUCCCAGUGCACUGGUGCAGUAUUGCCUGCUGCAGUGGUGAGUGCAAGUAAAACAUAGUGUCUGUUUUAUGAAUAGAAAAUGAAAGAUAUAUACACUUAGCCACUGAGAUUAGCUGUGUUUAGAGCAUGGUGCUAACAGCAUCAAGGUUUCAUGUUUGAUCACUGUAUAGGCCAUUUACUUAAGAGCUGGACUUGUUGAUCCUUGUGGAUCUCUUCCAACUCAGAAUAUUCUGUGUAUGAAAUUGGAAGGAAUAAUUGGGCUGCAUUUGUAGCUACACACACACAAAAAAAAGCAAAUCUCUCCUUCAUUUCAGCAGACCUUUCAUUUCUUGAAAGAGUCAAGAGUUCCUAAAGGUCAAAUGCAUUGCCAAUAUCUGAAGAGAUGAGGAAUGGACUUCUGUGAGUCACCAAGGUUGUUUAAUAGCAAGUCUGUGUAUUUUUGGCUUACUGAAGGUAUGGUUUCUAAACAUGAAAUGUACAGAGAGGAAUGUUUUGCAUCAUUUGUUUCUUACUCAAAUAUGUUUAGCCGAGAUCCUUCAUGGGCAUCUUCCCAGACUUUGGUUGCUCCACCAUUCAGAUUAGUUCCUCGAAUCAAAACUGCCACGAAGCCAGCCACCAUAACAACCAUUUGAAAUGCAUCUGUCCAGACAACAGCUUUUAAUCCUCCCUAAAACAAAGAGAAACUGUACGCACCCAAUCUUCUUUCCUGUUGCUCAAGUACUGAAAAAUGUAGAAAGACUCCUUAUUUUGACAAGCUCCUGGGCUGUAUGUACAGCACCCAGCAAAUCAGGGCUCUGUAUUCUCCCACAAAGUGUGUAUUUUUGCAGGUCAGAAAAUUUCACAUCCUAAAUAGUUUGUCUAUGGGCACAGAAGAAUAUUUGACUUUCAGUUAAAUGCCUUUUUUUCCCUGACUCCUUUAUAUGCAUUUGAAGACCAUAUCAUGGUGUGGAACACAAGCUUAGGGAGUUUUGGCCUGUUCCUACAUCCCUUAGGACUCCAUACAUUCUCAGAGCCCACAGUUAGCCCAACACGGAAAAAUAGCUCUGGAAAAUUUGCCAUUCAGCUUUCUUCCAUAGCUACUUUCAUAUUUGGUCAAAUCAGUACUAGAGCAUAUAAUAAGUGUUUUCAACACAAGUGAUAUAUUGAAAAAAAAUCAUUAGUGUCAAUGAGAAUGGCAAUUAGUUUGUGUCCUGAGCCAUAGGGCUCUGCUGCUUCGGUGCAAAUAUCUAUAAAAUAUAUCUGUUUUGGAAUUUGGAGUCUCAUGUUGCUUCCACUCAAAAGUAAAGCUCUCUGGCCUGUUGAUUAUCCCUCCUAGGUUUUAGUGCUUUGUUCUUGGGCAUGAUUUUCAUUACAGUGUUUUUCAGCCUAUAAUUUGUAAAAGAUAAGAAUCAUCUUCUCAAAAAACGACAGGGGAAGCUUAUUGCCUCCUUAUCUGGACUCUGUCCCAAGAUGUCUAGUUUAAACAUGGAGACAUACAGCAAAGGAUUAGAGAGGAUUCUUUUCCUCCAAAUAGACUUCCCUAUAACACAGAACAUAUAAGAAAUUUAUCUCUAUGUACUCAACAGGAGCCAUCCUUGUCUGGUAGUGUGUCAUAAGAUGGUCAAAUUAACCAUCUGUGUUCCAACUGUUCAGUUAUGUCUAUUACAUACCAGAGUGCAAUAGAAAGUGCAGACAAUUCCUGUUGCAGCUACAGAGCCCCAGAGAUCAAAUCCAGUGACUGCAAAACCAGUGAAAACAAAAUCGUUAGUCAAAUGGGUGUGAGUCAUCUGGAAGGUAGCAGAAGAGCUGUAGUCCUUGAGCUUUAGAAGGAUAGGAGUAAUCACUAAUUUUAAUCUUUUGUGUCUAUUAGGAGCUUUGCUGGAUUGUUCAAGUUUUGUAGAACUUGUGGAUACUGUUUUGCAUUGUUGUUUUCUUUCAAAUUGAAAUUAAUUAACUUUCAAGCAAAAGUAAGAAUACUUGCAUAAAGCAAAAAUGUCAUUGUGAUGGGACAGAGCUUUAUAAGCAAUGCUUCACUUCUGUUCUUAGUCCAGAACUUUGUUAUUGAGAAACCAAGUUCUUCAGAGAUUCCCAAAAAUCCUAAGAUGAGAAAAACCCCAACCCAUAAGUAAAUACCAUUACCUGCAUCUAAGAAUGAUUUAAUGCUAAAAUGGGCUUAAUUAAAACAAAUUUCUGUGUUCAUUUUGCUUUGUCAAGUUUCUUUACACAAAAUGCACGAAUUUUUUUUUUGGCUGAUACUGAAAUCUUACCCACCAGUCAAAGUCUGUGAGGGCAAAAGCUAUUUUUAAAGGUUCUCCUAUCAACAAAGUUAGUAUGGUGUAAUAAUGAAUGAGAACUUUCACAUGGAAUUCAGCUGCAUGACAGAGGAAGAAAAUUUGGCACUGUGUGAGCGAUGGGAUCAAACAGACUGAAUGCAACUUGGAUAAUUAACAAAGAAAAGAGCCUCACAAUCGCUUUCCAGUCAGUUUUGGUAAAAUCAGGAUUUAGGCCAUGAUGAUUCCUUGUGCCAUGAUGAUUCUAUGUGCCCUAAAAUUACAAAUCCUGUCUAUGGUGAUGGAGGCUUUAUGCCUACUUGGCAAAUAUUAAUUGAAGAAGUCUGGGGACAGAGAGCAGAACAGCAUUCAUCUCUGGCUGCAGGGAAGAGUUAUUCCCAUGGAAACCUGAAUACAAGAGACAGGGAUAGGAGGAAUCAAAGUACAUAAUAUGGUCUUGGAUCAUCAGCUUGUACUGUGAACUUUGUCAGGAUGUUGGGAAAUUGUUUGCUUCAAGUCUCUUCAGGUGGUACUGAGUGGGAAGGAGAGCAGAAGAGCAAUCACAAGGCUCCUGCUAAUGUUUGGGUGUGAGAGGAACCUGGGGAGUCAGAAAUAGAGAGCUAUAAGGGGAAGGCAAAAACCUUCUUAUAGGGCCUUUGAGCAGGGUUGGGGUUUUAUCCAUUUUUGUUACUUCAUUUACUCAGGCAAUCCCUUUGGUGUGCUUAUUUGCAGUAGCAGUGUAGUGCAGCAUAAGAACUCACCCUGGUUGAGUGCCAAUGAUGGAGCAUAGACCACAAUUCCUGUGUAAAGGAUCUGAAGGAGAAAAAUGAUGUAUUUUGAAUGCUCAGUGAUAAAACUUGUAUUUAGAGUAGGGCUCUAAUACCUAAAAUACCAGAUAUAAAAUACCAGAUUUAGGGGUUUCUUUAGAUCAGCUUGUAUUGUAUAAGGCUUUGUGUUUCAGCCCUUAAAAAUUAAAAUCUUGUGUUUAAUUCCUUUCUGAGGGGAGGAUCAUUAUUUGUCUUUGUAUUACCUAUUUCUCUACUGCUAAGAAAAGUAUAUGACAAAAUAUCCUCAUGAAAUAGAAAAAGGGUAUCUGCAGAAAACACAAAUAGUGUUAACAGAAAUAAAGUUGCAUUGAUCAUAGAAAUUAAAUUUUCAUUUUUCCAUUCAGUCCCUUAAAGUAACUGACUCAAUACCCUUUAUGUUUAAAAUCUGAGAUAACUGAUGGAGAAACAAAGCAUCAAAGUCAAUAAGUGUUCAGAUCUAUUGCCAAAGGUUUGGGAAUUAUUAAAAUGGAAUGAAUGCAGAAGUAAAUGUCUCCUAAUCUCCCCUCAAGUCCCAUCUUUCCAUUAAAUACACAAAUAAUGUAACCUGUCAAGAUGGUCACAGCAGUGACCAGUGCAUCUGCCCAGGAUACCUUGUAUAGCAGUUUUCAAAUAGGAUAGUUCACCUCAGUGUCAUAAAUGGGUAACUAAACAUACCCAGUGAAGCUUGACCAGCUGCUCAAGAAAGACAGAAUCCACUUAUCUGGGAAGAGAGAGGCUUCCAGUGAACAUAAUAAUAAUGUGACCAAGAAUGUGCCGUGAGAGUACAGCAGUACAUUCGAGUGUUAAAGACAACUAAAAUGGCAUUCUUAAUACUAAACAGGAAAAUUUAGGGAAGUCAGAUAGUUAAAUAUAUAAUCAUACUUUCUUUGUAGCAUUCAUGGUUCAAGUGAGAAAACGAAGAAAAAAGAGUACUCAUUAAAACAUCUCAUUAUAAAAUAUGUGCUGUCUGAGACUAAUCUGUGAAAAAUCAAUGCUGACUGAAAUUAACAUAAAAAAGAGUCAAUGUUAUCUUACCGUCUGUAGGAUGUAAAUCAGUGUUGCAGCAAGACGGACAAUCUUGUUAAAUCUUAACUCCAAAUACUAGGAAAAAGCAUAUUCUCAAUAAAGUGCACAUGCAGCAUCUGUGACACAGCCGUUACCCUUCUGUUUGCCCCAAGUGGCACCUUACUGUGCAAGUAAACUUACUGGCAACUGGCACUGCUGCUAUGAGCAGCUAACAAGGAGAGCAGGAUUGUCAUUAGACAGAAUGAUAAUUACAAUUAGAAAUCAAUCUUCUCAUCUGUAACAUGUACAUGAUGGUGUAUAUAUAAUCAGUGUAUAGAUUAUAUAGAUAUAAUUAUAUAGAUGAUAUAAUCUAUGUACUGAUUAUUGCAGUAAUCGAUACCUUCUUUGUACCAGGAAUAACUGGAAGAUCCCAAGAACUACAAAGAAAUUUUAACUUCAAAUGAAAGUAUGUUCCAAUUAUACAAUGAGGAAACUUGAGUUCAUCUCUAGCAGAAAUAGCAUUGAUUAAAAGUGGAGGUGGAGUGAUGGUGAAGCAGCGACAUGGAGUUUCCUGGUGCAGGAGCUAGGUUGGCUUUUCCCCUUGUUCUAUCUCAGCCUAAGGCCAAAUCUGCACAUCACCAAUAUGGAGAGGCACAAAGGGGGAUCUUAUGGACUUUCAGGCUCAUGGAUGUAGAGAGUUAAAAGAACUGCAGAGGCGAGUGGAUCUCUAGACCCAAAAGCCCAGGUUUUAAGGCUGAAUGAUCACCUGAGGUCUCUGCAGAGUUUCUCUGCCCUGUGGCAGCCUCUAUGCAGGGAGACUCUUCUUGGGCCACAGUCCCACAUGCCCCUCAACAGACAUCAGGCAUGGCCUGUGUAAGUUUUCUCUCUUUCACAAGUCUCCAGGCUGUGCACUUUGUACUGCCAAAGCAUCUUCUUUUUUUUUUUUUCUUUUUUCUCAUGCUGAUCUUGUGUUUCUUGCAUAAUAAACCCCACAGUCCACCAUGUAAAUACAUAGUGAAUUUAUGUAACUUUACCUAUUUCUAAAAUUAACUCAUGAAGCCAGCAGUCAUCUUUCCAGCAUGCUUGAAGAGUCUCUUCAUCUACAAUAUGACCCUUUUGCUGGUUCAGAUGACAGAAGUAAUUAAUUCUCUGACAUUGGAUCAAAACCAACUAGAAAAUGCAAUUACUUGGAGCAAUGGUCAAUUUUACUCUUCACUGUCCUGAAGAUAUUUCCAAAUACCCAGGCAGAUCUGUUUGACCAAAUUUGUUCCUCGUGUUUGGGCUCAGUGAGCACAAGCAGCCUUUCUGUUACCAGAAGGUUCCUUGUGAACGAACCCAGUUUCAUCAUCCAAUUCAUGCUUAGUUGAAACUGCCCACAGAGGAGCAACCAAACUUGCAGGAGCUGACUGAAGUGAGUAAGAAGCCAUCCCAAAUUAUCAGUAACUGUCCUGUGGAUGUGCAGUUUAUAAGGGCUGCUACUGAACUGUGUUAAGAAGGAAAAAAUGUGUUCCAGAGAAAAUGCCAGGCAAAAACUCUACAAAAUUCAGAAGUUACUAAUUUAUUUUCCUAGAGAAUGCUUGAAUUCAUUCUCCAGCCCUGACUUUUUUUUUUUUCUUUCUUUUUUAUUAUUUUAACCAGCCUGCCACCUUCUUUCUUUUCUUCCCAUCUCAGCUACUUAGAUAUAGUAACUUGGCCAGAAUUACUAUAUCUAGACUAGUUUGAAUUGGAUAGUAUUGAAUGUUGUUCUUAAAGUCUAUCUCUAAACCAGAGCAAAAUUUGGAUAUGCUUAAGUAUUUUCCAGCUGUAAUUUAAUUUGGUGCUGUGUGUAAAUCCAUAUCCUCUCUGUGCUAUAUGCGCAUAAAAGGAGCUCUGACCCUUAGAUUAUGAUUUCAGCUUAUACAAUAUAAAUAACUAGUUUUGUAAUGCAAAUUAUUUCAAAAAAUAAUUAAUAUAUCUAUAUAUUUGUUCUGUAAAACACUGCAGAAGUUUUUUUGUCAAAGAUUUUUCUCUAAAAACUAUAUACAUGAUAAUUAGUUAUGCUAGAAUAGUGUCUUUAUUUUAUUAUUUUUACUUACCUCGUAAGUGCUUGUGAUGCCAGAUCUAUAAAAAACAGGUAGGAAAAGUUCAGAAGUAAAAAUUAUGACAAGUGUAUAUGAAAGAAAGAAGAGCACAAAGGAUGCCCCAUAGCGAUAAACUUCAGAGGGUGUCCCCAGGACUGUCACUGCUGACAUGAAACUUGAUGUAAGAGAAAAAGCUAUGGGUCCACAUGUCAUCUGCUUACCGCCCACCAAAAAUUCCUUUGAAGUUUUUUUUUUCCUCUCUUUAACUGCAAAAAAGACUCCAAUGCUGGCAGAGACUAAAAAUAAUGCUGCAAAAACAACGUAGUCCCAAGUCACAAAUUUUUUGAUUUCUGGAGCUACAAAGUUUGGCAUUGCACCAAUUGUAUAAUUCUUUGAUGGAAGAUUCUGGUUUACUGUGGCUGCUGCUCCAACCAGAUUAACUCUGUUGACAGCAGAGCUGAAGCUUGUCUGUAGCUCAGCAAUGACAAAAAAUAAACUUUAAGAGUGUUCAGCCAGAACACUUUUUCUAAUCCAGUUCAGUUCUAAGGAGUUAAAAAAAAGGUAGCUAAGGAUGAGUUAAGGAGGAAUGCACUUAGACCCAAGUACUGCAGGUGCUUUUGCCAAGCAAGCUGAAAUAAGGGACUUAGCUGUGAAAUCUGUAGUACAAUCCCUUUUUAUCUCUGAUGUGUAAGUUUAAGGUUAAACAUUAGCCUGGCACAUUGACAUGAUCCAACUAUUUUCUAACAUCUCAGCAUUUUAAAAUAAUGAAAUGAGAGCAAUAGAGAAAAAAAUAAAGGAGAGGGAAAGGAAGGAAAGCUCAGUGUACAAACCUGUCAUCUCACUAAUGAGUUUGUUUUCAGAGAAGCAAUUUCCUCAUAUGGUUAAAAACGGAUCUUGAAUGCCAGCAAUAGUCUUUGCAGCUGUCCUUUGAGAUGCUAAGUGUGCUCCUAGAAUCUCUGGAACUUAAGGUGGCCGUAAGAAACUGAAGUGUUUAAUUGUUAAAACUAAUUAUGGUGCUUCCCUCCACCUGCUGUAGUUCAGCCUUGGUGUGUUUGGAAGCCCAAUGGACCUCCAGAUGAACAGAAGUGUGGUUUGUGCUGCACUGUCUGAGGGUGAAUUACAGUUAGAAACUAAUUUUUAACUGGCUUCUACUGAAGAAGUUUCUGUGGGUUCCUGUGAGAAAUUACUUAUUUAUCCAUAUAAAACUUUGUUGGAUUUACAGGACUACAGAAUCAUAGAAAACCAGAUUGAACAGCAAUAUUUAUCUUAACUAUGUCUUUGGCAUAAUUUUGUAAAUUCAAUUAUUAGGUUUUCCUUUUGUGUUUUUGUUUUAGAUAAUUGAAUAUUCAUUUUAUCCUCAUUAAUGCUGUAACAAUGCAUUUUCCAAAGAACCAGGAAAUUAUUUGUCAUCCUGAAGGAUUAACUUGUACAGAGAGGUAGUGUGUGCAGUCACAACCCUGAAAGAAGGGUGGGGUUUGUAUUGUGGAAAAAAAAAAAAAUUACAUAACCUGGGAGAGCUUUAAAUAGCAGAAGUCCUUUUCUUCAGCCUUGUUUUGGUUGGGGAUGGAUCCCCACAUCUCCUUCUUAGUUCAUUGGUAAAUAGAGGUGGUUUUGCUGUGUCAGUAGCAGCUUAGUGUGUGUCCAGACCUGAAGUCUUCCUGUUCCCAUCCAUUGUUCAGGAGAUGGACUUCUGCCCAUGUGUGAAGUAGAGAUUGUGCAAUUUUAUAGUUGAUUUUGGUGAGACUGAGUGUGAAAGGGGAAGCAAAUCCAAACCAAGAUACUUCUUUAAAGGUACUGCUGCAUACAGAGAAAGCACUUCUAGUCCACGUAAGUUAAAAAUAUGAAGUGUGGGUUUGGGAUCUUAUGACCCCAAAUCUAUGGAAGACAGGAUAUGGAUGUAGCAGUUGCCAGAGCACAGCAUUGUGUAACCGUGAGUGGUGAAGUGGAGGGGCCAGAAGAGACAGCAGUGAACCACGUUCCAUGAUGUGGAUCAGAGUCAGUACAGGUAACAUGCUGAGAGUUUUCACACAACUGUAUCCAAGUAUGCAGCCAUCACUAGUUAAUAUUUCUCUUUUGUACAGACCAAAUGCCUUAAAGUGUUACACUCUCAAAAAAGCAGCCAAGUAUUCCUCUGCUUUUGAGAGGGUUUUUUUUUUUUUUUUUGCCUCUCCCUCCCCUUUUUGCUCUUCUCUUCUUAUAAGUGUGGACAUGGAUAUGGAUAUUUUCUGAAUGUUUUAUAUUAAUAAUACCUACAGGGUCUUAUUAAUAAGUGUCUCUGGCAAUGGUAAAAGCUAUGCCAGUACAACAGGGAGUUUCUGGGGUCAACCGUCAACCCAGUCUGGCAGUAGGCUAAUUUAAUGGUGUUUGUAUGCAGCUUGUAGGGCUCACUGGGAAAACCAUAGAUUGAUCUAGUUUGAUCCCAGGAACAUCAAAUGAAUUCACAAAAAGAUGCAAACCCUCAAACUUGAGGGUAUUUCUUCUUAAAUUUGAGUUGCUGGACAUGCAUUAUCUAAAUGAGACCUCAUCAGCCUUACAAUGUUGAGAGGGUAGAGAACUGUUUAUAAAGCUUGGGAUAAAAAAAUGAAAGUAUAAAGCAAAUGAAAAAAUAAUCAUCUGCGUCAGAAGGUUUCUCUCCUUGCCAUGUUACCAAAGAAACUGUAAGUGGAAGAUCCCUGUAAUAUCCAUUCUAGGAAAAUAAGUGUAGUGUAAAAAUUUCUUUUGGCAUUAAUAUAAACCUGCCAAAAAUUUUUUUUAAUUGCAAAUGUUUUUUCCAGCAGAAAAGUGGGGAUUUUUUUUGGAUGAUGGUAUAUUACACAAAGUAGGGAAAAACUAAUGGACGAACAAACUGAAAAUCAAGCUAGAAAUGUAAAUUUGUGUAUUUAUCAUGCCAUAGUCUUCUGACACAUUUUUCAGCAUCAUGUUGUGGGAUUGUUCAGAAUAAUCAUUUUGGCUAAAUCCCACAUAGAAAAAAAAACUUAGAAAUAUGAUUUCUGGAGAAAAAAUAUUUUUAAAUAGUAUGGAAACACUUGUUAUUAUGUUGUGAUGUUAUUCUUUGUGUGGAAAUAAUUGAUAUUUUUAUUUCCCUGAAAUAAGAAGAUUAUUUUAAAUUUAUUUAUGCAAACUCUUGUGAAACUGAUUUUUAGCCAGGGUAACCCAAGGAAGAGCCUUCACUUUUUGAAGAUUCAAUACCUCUUUCAAUAUCUGACCAAGAAUCUGAAAAGAAAUUCCAAGUUGACUGUUUCACUUUUCCAUUCCAGGCUAUAUGCAGCGGAGGUUCUAUGUCAGGCUUUACUUCAACAUCUGAAAAAAGCACUUGAGGAUAGCAAAGUUAAGGGUGUGACUAAUGAGCUGCAGCCUGACUUGCUGCAGUCAGGCAGGAAAACUUGCAAGGAAUGCUCCUUUCCAUGAGCUGCUGUCCCUUUUUGCCCCUGAUUGUGGGGAACAUAAGAAUAGCCUUUUGAGGGGGAGAGGAGACACAGCUUGAGUGAAUGGAUAUAUAUCAUUGCAUCUUUCAGAUUGAGAUCAGGGAAAAGACAGACCUUAAUUUAGCAUUCUAUUGGCUUGAGAGUUGAGCAUCUCUUGUAGUGCUUGUGAGACACACCUGCCUUAUCCUAAAAUGCAGAAAAGUGAUGCCCUGUGUGCCACACUGUGCAUAUUUAAUAGCAGUUCCCUAUGAGGAAGCUGAAGACACAUCUGCCUGAUGCUCUCACCACCACUACUACAUUGUCCACUCUUGCUGUUCUUUUUUCUUUUUUUAUCUCCUUGCAGUGAGAGCUUUCCAUUUGGAGUAAAUGCCAGUUUGAGAUGAUAGAAAUUAUCCCUUUCUGAGACCAGACUAGAAUCAUGUAGUCUGAUGCUCAGUGAUCAGAUUAUGAACGGUUUUCUGACUCCAGCUGAAUUAAUCUGCUAGAUACCCUUUGUCAUGUGUAACAGAUCCAGGACCUCACCCUUGAUCAAAGACUGACUGAUCACUAGUACUGAGAAGAAGAAAAAUGAGUUUUGAAUUCUGAAAUUACUUAAAAUUUUUUCAUCUUAUGCACUUAUAUUGAUGCUAAUCCAGUAUUUGAGUCUGAGAUCUGUCCACUGUUACAAACAUAAGUGUAAUUCUGUAACAUAAUAUCAAGUCAGAUGUAGAUUUGAUAUCCCUUUGUUGAUAUCCAUUUGUUGGUGCUACUUGAAAUGCUUAGAUCUAUACAUAGAAAAUUAUUUAACUUACAAACUUAAGAUCUCCUCACAAGUUGUACACUUUGCAUAGUACCCAUAAACAGCAACAGCCUCUAAAUAUUUUAUAAAAAAUAAACAUUAUAUGAAUUUCUCUAAGGAAAGUAUUUCUAACACCUGGGUCAGAAAGUUUCUCUGUUUAGUAUAUUGCUUUCCACUAGAAAUCAUUUAAAGUGCAACUGUCAGGUAAAAAAAUACCUGCAGUGUUUGAUCACAGGAACAUCAAGUGAAAUAAGUAAGUGCAGUACUGAAGGAUAUUUUUUUUCUAAAAAUGCAGAUAAUAGUAUAAAUUCUGUGACUAAUAUAU